AGACCCGAAACCCGGUGAUCUAGCCAUGGGCAGGUUGAAGGUUGGGUAACACUAACUGGAGGACCGAACCGACUAAUGUUGAAAAAUUAGCGGAUGACCUGUGGCUGGGGGUGAAAGGCCAAUCAAACCGGGAGAUAGCUGGUUCUCCCCGAAAGCUAUUUAGGUAGCGCCUCGUGAAUUCAUCUCCGGGGGUAGAGCACUGUUUCGGCUAGGGGGCCAUCCCGGCUUACCAACCCGAUGCAAACUGCGAAUACCGGAGAAUGUUAUCACGGGAGACACACGGCGGGUGCUAACGUCCGUCGUGAAGAGGGAAACAACCCAGACCGCCAGCUAAGGUCCCAAAGUCAUGGUUAAGUGGGAAACGAUGUGGGAAGGCCCAGACAGCCAGGAUGUUGGCUUAGAAGCAGCCAUCAUUUAAAGAAAGCGUAAUAGCUCACUGGUCGAGUCGGCCUGCGCGGAAGAUGUAACGGGGCUAAACCAUGCACCGAAGCUGCGGCAGCGACACUCAGGUGUUGUUGGGUAGGGGAGCGUUCUGUAAGCCUGUGAAGGUGGCCUGUGAGGGUUGCUGGAGGUAUCAGAAGUGCGAAUGCUGACAUAAGUAACGAUAAAGCGGGUGAAAAGCCCGCUCGCCGGAAGACCAAGGGUUCCUGUCCAACGUUAAUCGGGGCAGGGUGAGUCGACCCCUAAGGCGAGGCCGAAAGGCGUAGUCGAUGGGAAACGGGUUAAUAUUCCCGUACUUGGUGUUACUGCGAAGGGGGGACGGAGAAGGCUAUGUUGGCCGGGCGACGGUUGUCCCGGUUUAAGCG
rnacentral:rRNA from 1 species